GAUUGAACGCUGGCGGAAUGCUUUACACAUGCAAGUCGAGCGGCAGCGCGGGGCAACCCUGGCGGCGAGCGGCGAACGGGUGAGUAAUACAUCGGAACGUGUCCUUAAGUGGGGGAUAGCUCGGCGAAAGCCGGAUUAAUACCGCAUAAGCUCUGAGGACGGAAAGCGGGGGCUCCGUAAGGACCUCGCGCUGUUGGAGCGGCCGAUGUCGGAUUAGCUAGUUGGUGGGAAAGCCCACCAGGCGACGAUCCGUAGCUGGUCUGAGAGGACGGCCAGCCACACUGGCACUGACACACGGGCCAGACUCCUACGGGAGGCAG
rnacentral:rRNA from 1 species